CCUACGGGUGACAGCAGUGGGGGAUAUUGCACAAUGGGGGGAACCCUGAUGCAGCGACGCCGCGUGGGUGAAGAAGGUCCUCGGCGCGUAAAGCCCUGUCAGCAGGGAAGAAAAUGACGGUAACUGAAGAAGAAGCCCCGUCUAACUACGUGCCAGCAGCCGCGGUAAUACGGAGGGGGCAAGCGUUAUCCGGAUUUAAUGGGUGUAAAGGGGGCGCAGACGGGGAUGCAAGCCCGGAGGGAAAGCCCGGGGCCCAACCCCGGGACUGCUCUUGGAACUGCGUGGCUGGAGUGCAUGAGGGGUAGGCGGAAUUCCUGGUGUAGCGGUGAAAUGCGUAGAUAUCAGGAGGAACACCGGUGGCGAAGGCGGCCUGCUGGACUGCAACUGACGUUGAGGCUCGAAAGCGUGGGGAGCAAACAGGAUUAGAUACCCCUGUAGUC
rnacentral:rRNA from 1 species